rnacentral:rRNA from 1 species
CUCUUCGGUUAAUACCCGGAGACGAUGACAUUAGCUGCAGAAUAAGCACCGGCUAACUCUGUGCCAGCAGCCGCGGUAAUACAGAGGGUGCAAGCGUUAAUCGGAAUUACUGGGCGUAAAGCGAGCGUAGGUGGCUUGAUAAGUCAGAUGUGAAAUCCCCGGGCUUAACCUGGGAACUGCAUCUGAAACUGUUAGGCUAGAGUAGGUGAGAGGGAAGUAGAAUUUCAGGUGUAGCGGUGAAAUGCGUAGAGAUCUGGAGGAAUACCGAUGGCGAAGGCAGCUUCCUGGCAUCAUACUGACACUGAGGCUCGAAAGCGUGGGUAGCAAAUAGGAUUAGAUACCCUGGUAGUCCACGCCGUAAACGAUGUC